rnacentral:lncRNA from 1 species
AGACGGGGUUUCACCUUGUUAGCCAGGAUGGUCUCGAUCUCCUGACCUCGUGAUCCACCCGCCUCGGCCUCCCAAAGUGCUGGGAUUACAGGCGUGAGCCACCGCGCCCAGCCUGUAAGCCUAAAUUUUUGUGGCUGUGGGAUGGACAAGGACCCAGUCUUUAGCUGAACUAAGGAAAAGUCCUGCAACAAUAAAUUUCAGAAGUUUGAUCUUAACAGAUGAGGAGACUGAAGCCCACAGAGAUCUGAUAGAAAACAGCUGGAUGUGCUAACAGAGCAUCAGACUUGGAAUCAGGUGGAUCCUAGAUUGGCUACUUCCUAACCUCAGAAAAGUGACAUAAUGUCUAUGGUGAAGUCAUCCAUCUGAAACACAAUGCAGUGAAAUCCACUUUAAAUUUUGAUUGUGAAAGCUUUACUGAGGUUUAUUUGAUACACAAUGAUCGUAUCAUUAUGGCUACAAGAAAAGUAAUCAACAAAGUAUACACUUGGAUAAAUGUUGACAUAAGUAUAUACCUGUAAAACUAUCACUACAAUCAAGAUAAUGAACAUGUCCACGUGCUCCCAAAGUUUCUGCACAAUCCUUCCCAUCCUUCCUUGUUCUUGGAACUGCUAAUCAACUAUAGGUUAGUUUGCAUUUUCUGGAAUUUUAUAUUAAUAGAAUCAUAUAGUGUGGACUCUCUUUGGAGUUUAGUUUCCUUCACUUGGCAUAAUUAUUUUGAGAUUCACCCUUGUUGUGGCAUGUAUCAAUAGUUUAUUCUUAUUUAUUGCUGACUAGUAUUUCAUUGUAUGGGCAUACCACAGUAUGUUUAUUCCUUCAGCUCGUGGUGGAUAUUUAUAUUGUUUCCAGCUUUUUGCCUAUUGUUUUUAAAAGCUGCUAUAAAAAUUGUAUUCAUGUCUUUGCAUGAACAUAUGCUUUUAUUUAUCUUGAGUAAAUGCCUAGGAGUAGAGUGGCUGUAUCAUAAGGUAGAUGUAUAUUUAACUGUUUACGAAACUUGCUGACCAUUUUCCAAUGUGGUUGUAUACUUUACAUUCCCACCAGCAAUGUAUGGGAGUCUAUUCCUCCACAUUCACACCAAUGCUCGAUAUGGUCAGUCUUUAAUUUUAGCCAUUCUAAAAUGUUUGUAGAGUAUCUCAUUGUGUUUUUAAUUUUAAUUAAAUUUCUGAAAUAACAA